rnacentral:misc_RNA from 1 species
GAUGAAGAACGCAGCGAAAUGCGAUAAGUAAUGUGAAUUGCAGAAUUCAGUGAAUCAUCGAAUCUUUGAACGCACAUUGCGCCCGCCAGUAUUCUGGCGGGCAUGCCUGUUCGUGCGUCAUUACAACCCUCAGGCCCCCGGGCCUGGCGUUGGGGAUCGGCGGAAGCCCCCUGCGGGCACAACGCCGUCCCCCAAAUACAGUGGCGGUCCCGCCGCAGCUUCCAUUGCGUAGUAGCUAACACCUCGCAACUGGAGAGCGGCGCGGCCACGCCGUAAAACACCCAACUUCUGAAUGUUGACCUCGAAUCAGGUAGGAAUACCCGCUGAACUUAAGCAUAUCAAUAAGCGGAGGA